GACGUAGGGUCCAAGCGUUGUCCGGAUUUACUGGGCGUAAAGAGCGCGUAGGCGGCUUGUUAAGUGUGAAGUGAAAUCUCCAGGGCUCAACCCGGAAACUGCUUUACAUACUGGCAAGCUGGAGUGAUGAAGAGGUUUGUGGAAUUCCUGGUGUAACGGUGAAAUGUGUUGAUAUCAGGAGGAACACCCAUGGCGAAGGCAGCAAACUGGUCAUCAACUGACGCUGAGGCGCGAAAGCGUGGGUAGCAAACAGG
rnacentral:rRNA from 2 species